rnacentral:lncRNA from 10 species
GUCAUGAAAACUUGAAAACUUUGCCCUAACUUUAUGCAGCUUUAGAAUUUGAGUUUAAAGUAAGAAUAUAUUAUGGGAAGGCCCAAACUAAGCAAUUACUUUAAAUUUCAGUAACAUAUUGGCAUCUCAAUUCAUCCGAAAAUGCAGCUUUUGUCUGAAGAGCAGGCUUCACAGGAUUUCUACAGAUAACAUCUUGCCAACAAGGCUCAUAAUCCUAAAUUAUCAAACACACAGGGAAGCAACCAUGAGUGAGAAUCAGUAGAAACAAUUCACAGCGGAAUUAAUCUGCUCAAAUAAUUUGGGCUUUUACUAUUCACAUAUAGAAUACAAAUAAGCAUACAUGAAUGUCUAAAUGAAAUUAAAGGUUAAUUUAUCUCCAUCAUUUAAGAACAAGAUAUUAUCAAACAAGUUUAAGUAUAUUUGAUACAGAAUUAAGUGCAAUUUCUAGACUUUACAAACAUAAUCAUUAAUGAUAAGAAUCCAGUGUGAAGUUAAACAGUCAAGUAAAUAUGGAUAAUGAGAGAAUUAAUGAUACUGGAUGCAGAUGAAGAAAUAACUCAAGUUUGCAGCAUUCUUUUUACAAAAAGCAGAAAUAAGAAGUGAAAAAACAACAGUGGAUGAUAAAUUGAAAGGGUCCCAAAUUUCCCUUAUUAGACUUCAAAAGAAGAAAAAGGGAAAAUGAAUAGGCUAUAUUUAAAAAUAUAAUAACUGAGAAUUACCCCAGAACUGAUAAAAACAAGGCACAUCCCAAACAAAACAUAUUUUUUUUUUUUACUGAAGAUUGUAUUUUGUACAGAUGACUGAAACAAUAUGCAUUCAAAUUCUUUGCUAUAAUGUGACCAUACCACUCUUCCACUAAGAAAGGAAAUCGAAUUCUCUUCUCCUUGAAUCUGGGGACGCCUUAACAUUUGUUUGUAACCAACAGGAUGUAGAGGAGAUGAUGCUACUUGACUUCUGCAGCUUUGUCAGAAAAGGCCAUUGCUUCUUCCUCUCUUUAAAUGCUUGCUCCUGGAAGUUCCCCCUCAGAAAUUUCCCUCUUGGAACUCAGACACAUGCUGAGACGCCUACCCUAAGCCACAUGGAGAAGCCAUAGGUCAUAAGACUCUCAUUCCACAGAGGGCCCUGCCCCAUACCAAGAAGGAAGGAAUGCUGCACAGAGAGGCAAAGAAGAAUCUAAACAGACAACAUAAACCUUUGCUGAGUUUCUCCAUUCAGUCUUCUAGCAUUCAAUCAUACCAUUUGGGUCCAAUAUUAUUUCUACACAGCUAUCCAUACUUUGUCAACCCUAAGCCAAAAAUGGACAGUUUCCCGUAUAUCUUUGGGUCUUCAUUCUGAAGGCUCCCGUGUCAUGUAAAACUAUGACCAAAUAAAUUUGUUUGCCUUUUCUCCUGUUAAUCUGCCUUUUGUUGGCUGACUUUCAGCAAACUUUCAGAAUGUAAUGGGGAAGUUUUCCCUUGGCCCCUACCAUUACUUCAGUUUCAUUUGUGGAGAUUCAUAGUUGUAAAUUGUAGUAUGUGUAUGUUUUUGUAUAUUUAAUAUAUUUCAAUUUAAAGUUUUUAAAAAUAAGAACAAUUGUGGAGAGAUAA